GGGGCUGAGGUGGUGGCGGGCGACGGGCCUCGAGACGCGGAGCGACGCGGCCUAGCGCGGCGGACGGCCGAGGGAACUCGGGCAGUCGUCCCGUCCCGCCAUGGAAAUGGAGAAGGAAUUCGAGCAGAUCGAUAAGGCUGGGAACUGGGCGGCUAUUUACCAGGAUAUUCGACAUGAAGCCAGUGACUUCCCAUGCAGAAUAGCGAAACUUCCUAAGAACAAAAACCGGAACAGGUACCGAGAUGUCAGCCCUUGUAAGUACCCACUACCCACUCACACUUCCCAGUGGAGCCUCAUUGUCUAGGGUGGGUAGAGGUUAUGACCUCUUUUUCUCCGUUAUAAGCACAGGAGACACAGUGUCAUAGCUCACAUUCACUGUUGCAGAAAGCAGUAGAGCUCCAGUUUCUGGAAACGGUAGUGGUUCAGGGUCCUUCUUUUUAGCUCUCUGUUGUGGUGAGUCAUUUUCCUCCCUAGAAGUGGCAUGACUUGGGCUUAGUGUAGUCUCUUCUGGAUGACUCAGCAGCAAUGCCAUUGGCUGUUAGCCUGGUGACGAGCCACAAAGAUGCUCAUAGGUACUCGCU
rnacentral:lncRNA from 1 species